UGGGCCAUCCAUAACAAGAGUGGCAGCAGCCGGAUUGAGUGGAGAGUGUCAUCGCAGAGAUAAAGGGUCUUUCCUUCUAUCUUCCACCCUUCCAGGUGAGCCCAAAUGGUAUCAACCUUAUCUUUUUCCUUUUACUUUUAAUCCAUCAAAAGGUUAUUUUACUUUUCAUAAUUGGCUCUCAUGAUGCCCAGAAAUGCAUGCAAGUUAUUCGUUUGGAGGGUAAGUAAACAAUAGUACUACUACCACUGAUGUCCGUCCCCUUGGAAGGAGGGAAAGAAAUUUUAGUACAAUUCUACCACAACAAAUGUCCCCUACACUUUGAAUCAACAAUCAUUCAAGUCAAAACCCAAACUUAUCAGUAAUAGAAAUAGGGUCAUGGAAACCAGUCAAAUCAAUUUAAGCCCUAUGAAAACCAAUACAAAAAUUAUGUCUACCUAGCUUAAUAUGUGGUCGCAUUAAUGCAUAUUACUUUACUAGUACAUUAGUCCAAUGUUUAGUAUAUUACAUAAACUUCAAUAUAUAUUUUAUUCCAUUUGGUUUUAUCACUCUUUUUUUUAUCACUGAAUAUGUAAAUUAACUCACUAAUUGGAUUAACUGUGUGAGGUUAUUCCAGCUUACUAAUGGUUUUGAUUUGAAUCCUAUGUAUAACGAGCUAUUUCUACCCAAAAGAAAUUAUCUCAGGUUUUAUUACAAGAAAUCUUACUUGAAUUGAAUAGGUAAUUCGAGCCGUAUUUGUAUUGUACAUGACCCAAAAUCAUCAAAACCAUCAAGGACUAGGUACAAAACAGCUUGUUACUCUAGUCAGUUAUGUUAUAAAAACGAUUUUUCUCAGUGACAAAAAUGUUACACAAACAAGGCUUAUCUAAGCAAGUUACAUGGUUGAAUAUAUCUAUCUACAUUUCAUCAAUGAUGAAUAUGAUACAAAAUACGACUAUGGGUGUACCAAAGCUGUUUCAUGUACAUCUGUUGAGCGAAGUAGUCAGUUAUCUGAGUAUUGGAGUAAGCCAAAAUCACAGCCUUCCCAAGACACAGCACAGUGUUGCCUUUUCAAUUUCAUUCUUUUUACAAUAUCAGUGGUUAAUAUUUUUUUUAUUCAACUCCUGGUGUGACGAUCUUUGUCAAGAUCAUCAAACUCCCAUUCACUUAUCUCUUCUGCUGAGUCAUCUUCACUUAAUUUAUCAAGUUCUAUUUCUAUUUCUGAUCUUCCAGGCAUUAUUGAGAAAGAGUUUUUUCUCACUACAUCUUGCUUGUGUUUUUUAGCCGAGGGAGGAGAAGGAGUUCUGGAGACUAUUUGACUUGAUGGUGUUUCUGACCUUUCAGUUGGAAUCUCAAGUUCCAUUUUUGGCCUCUCAAUAGAUUCAAAUUCGUCUUUUAUUUUCUCAAUGGCAUCAAACAGUUGUGUCACCUUGUCGCUGUCUUUUCUAUAUCAAAAUUGUAAAUGUUAAAGGGAAGAAACAUUUAUAUAUGUAUGUUAAUAUGGAAAAAGAAAAAGACAAGAGGCCAGG
rnacentral:lncRNA from 1 species